rnacentral:rRNA from 1 species
GAUUAGCCAUGCAUGUCUAAGUACAUGCCGUAUUAAGGCGAAACCGCGAAUGGCUCAUUAAAUCAGUCAUGGUUCCUUGGAUCGUACCUUACUACUUGGAUAACUGUGGCAAUUCUAGAGCUAAUACAUGCAGCAGAGCUCCGACCUUCGGGGACGAGCGCUUUUAUUAGACCAAAACCAAUCGGACCUCGUGUCCGUCCUUUGUGGUGACUCUGUAUAACUUUGGGCUGAUCGCACGGGCCUGUCCCGGCGACGUAUCUUUCAAGUGUCUGCCUUAUCAACUUUCGAUGGUAGGUUACGCGCCUACCAUGGUCGUAACGGGUAACGGGGAAUCAGGGUUCGAUUCCGGAGAGGGAGCCUGAGAAACGGCUACCACAUCCAAGGAAGGCAGCAGGCGCGCAAAUUACCCACUCCCAGAACGGGGAGGUAGUGACGAAAAAUAACAAUACGGGACUCUUUUGAGACCCCGUAAUUGGAAUGAGUACACUCUAAAUCCUUUAACGAGGAUCCAUUGGAGGGUAAGUCUGGUGCCAGCAACCGCGGUAAUUCCAGCUCCAAUAGCGUAUAUUAAAGUUGUUGCGGUUAAAAAGCUCGUAGUUGGAUCUCAGUUCCAGACGGGUGGUCCGCCUACCGGUGGUUACUGCCUGUUCUGAACAGUCAGCCGGUUUCUCUUGAUGAUCUUCACCGGUUGUCUUGGGUGACCGGCAAGUUUACUUUGAAAAAAUUAGAGUGCUCAAAGCAGGCGUGACGCCUGAAUAAUGGUGCAUGGAAUAAUGGAAUAGGACCUCGGUUCUAUUUUGUUGGUUUUCGGAACACGAGGUAAUGAUUAAGAGGGACAGACGGGGGCAUUCGUAUUGCGACGCUAGAGGUGAAAUUCUUG